AUUGAACGCUGGCGGCCGGCCUAACACAUGCAAGUCGAACGAGUGGCGGACGGGUGAGUAAUUUCUGGGCAACUGCCCGAUGGAGGGGGAUAACUACUGGAAACGGUAGCUAUUACCGCAUCCCAUCGGAUGUGCCCAGAUGGGAUUAGCUUGUAGGUGGGGUAACGGCUCACCCAGGCGACGAUCCCUAGCUAGUCUGAGAGGAGGACCAGCCACACUAGAACUGAGACACGGUCCAGACUCCUACGGGAGGCAGCGGGAGGGAUUAUUCCACAGUGGGCGCGAGCCUGAAGCAGCCAUGCCGCGUGUAUGAAGAAGGCCAUCGGGUUGUAAAGUACUAUCAGCGAGGAGGAAUUACUCGCAGAAGAAGCACCGGCUAACUCCGUGCCAGCCGCCGCGGUAAUAC
rnacentral:rRNA from 1 species